AGAUGUUUAUAGUUAUGGAAUUCUGUUGUUGGAGAUGGUAACAGCUAAGAAACCUACAGAAGAUAUUUUUGUAGGAGGUCUCAACCUUCACAAUUUUGCAAGGAUGGCAUUGCUUGAUCAUGUAUUGGAGAUUGUAGAUCCUAUUCUGUUGCAAGAAGAAGAAGAAAGAUUAAAUAGGAAUCAAAGUCCAACACAAACAAGAAAUGACUACAAAAUUGAAUGCUUAAUUUCGAUGAUCAAAGUUGGGGUAGCAUGCUCCAUGGAGCCGCCUCAAGAUAGAAUGGUCAUAAGUGACGCAGUCCACGAGUUGCAUUCAGUCAGAAACAAUUAUAUGCGAGCUAGAACAAGUCCCUCCGCACACGGGAGACCAUCAAGUUGAAAUUUGAAGUGAAGCAGCUAAAGAAGAAGAGUGUAUUGUUAAGUCUCUUUGGGAAUGUAAUUUGGUGGCUGAUUCCCUUGCCAGGGGAUUUCAAGAAGUGACGAGUUCGCGGCUUGGUUUUAACUCUGCAUUCCGGAUUUGCUUUGUUUUAUCUGUUGGUCGCCUUGUUUUCUUGUUUUGAUUGUACCUGGAAUACUUUGCUG
rnacentral:misc_RNA from 1 species